rnacentral:rRNA from 1 species
UACGUAGGGGGCAAGCGUUGUCCGGAAUCAUUGGGCGUAAAGCGCGCGUAGGCGGCCCGGUAAGUCCGCUGUAAAAGUCCAGGGCUCAACCCUGGAAAGCCGGUGGAUAUUGUCGGGCUAGAGUCCGGAAGAGGCGAGUGGAAUUCCCGGUGUAGCGGUGAAAUGCGCAGAUAUCGGGAGGAACACCUAUGGCGAAGGCAGCUCGCUGGGACGUUACUGACGCUCAUGCACGAAAGCGUGGGGAGCAAACAGG